rnacentral:rRNA from 1 species
GAUGGACGCUGGCGGCGUGCCUAAUACAUGCAAGUCGAGCGAACAGACGAGGAGCUUGCUCCUCUGACGUUAGCGGCGGACGGGUGAGUAACACGUGGAUAACCUACCUAUAAGACCGGGAUAACUUCGGGAAACCGGAGCUAAUACCGGAUAAUAUAUUGAACCGCAUGGUUCAAUAGUGAAAGACGGUUUUGCUGUCACUUAUAGAUGGAUCCGCGCCGCAUUAGCUAGUUGGUAAGGUAACGGCUUACCAAGGCGACGAUGCGUAGCCGACCUGAGAGGGUGAUCGGCCACACUGGAACUGAGACACGGUCCAGACUCCUACGGGAGGCAACAGUAGGGAAUCUUCCGCAAUGGGCGAAAGCCUGACGGAGCAACGCCGCGUGAGUGAUGAAGGUCUUCGGAUCGUAAAACUCUGUUAUUAGGGAAGAACAAAUGUGUAAGUAACUAUGCACGUCUUGACGGUACCUAAUCAGAAAGCCACGGCUAACUACGUG